rnacentral:tRNA from 1 species
GAGGGUAUAGCUCAGUAGUAGAGAGCUUGCCUAACAUUCACAUGGUCCUGGGUUCAAUCUCCAGUACCUCCA